rnacentral:rRNA from 1 species
CCUACGGGUGGCAGCAGUGAGGAAUAUUGGUCAAUGGGCUUACGCCUGAACCAGCAAAGUCGCGUGAGGGAAGACUGCCCUAUGGGUUGUAAACCUCUUUUGUAAGGGAGCAAUUGGCGCUACGUGUAGCGGUAUCGAGAGUACGUGAAGAAAAAGCAUCGGCUAACUCCGUGCCAGCAGAAGCGGUAAUACGGAGGAUGCGAGCGUUAUCAGGAUGUAUUGGGUUUAAAGGGUGCGUAGGCGGAAUGCCAAGUCAGCGGUAAAAUCGAGGGGCUCAACCUCGCUCCGCCGUUGAAACUGGCGUUCUUGAGUGGGCGAGAAGUAUGCUGAAUGCGUGGUGUAGCGGUGAAAUGCAUAGAUAUCACGCAGAACUCCGAUUGCGAAGGCAGCAUACCGGCGCCCAACUGACGCUGAAGCAUGAAAGCGUGGGUAUCGAACAGGAUUAGAUACCCUGGUAGUC